CCGUGCUAGGUGGGGAGGUAGCGGUGCCCUGUACUUGCAAUCCGCUCUAGCAAGACUGAAUUCCCUCCUUCGGUAAGUACUCUGUAAGGUCUGACCAUUGUAAGUGGUGUUGACGUCUGGGUCCUGCGCAAUGGGAACUUACGAACCCUGUCAGGUCCGGAAGGAAGCAGCAGUAAGUAAGAACUCCCAUGUGCCGCAGGGCAGCCUGGGCCGAGCUAACUGCAAUGGUUCCGCUUAUGGAUACUUAUCAACGGAGGGUGCACGG
rfam:Bacillus sp. FJAT-27916 Scaffold1, whole genome shotgun sequence.